rnacentral:lncRNA from 1 species
GCCGCGCCUCCUCCUCCGCACAGCUCCGGUUGCGGGGAGGCCCGGGUGGGUACCCGGCGCUCCGGCUCCCAGUCUCCUGGGCUUCUCCAGUCCUUCAGCGCCGUUCUCCGGUCACAGGGAAUGAAAGCGAGGAAGAAGGAAACGGUGUCGAGAAUUGCGAAGAGAGAAAGCAUAGAAAACCCACAUUAGAGGCACUCCCAGAGCAGAAACCCUUCGGAGCAUCCCGACUUCCUCGGCCCGCGUGCAAUCCAGGCAAAAUUGAGGUUGUCUCUGAGCCGCCCUCCCUAAGCAGGUCGGAAAGCCCCCGAAUCAUCCCAGGUCCCGCCGCGCUGCACUCGCAACCUGGGGUGGAGGUCCCUCUAGUGGUUGGCACCAAACAAAAGUUCUGUCUUAUGAAGAGCCGAGGUCAGGAAGCAUUUCCCUGUGCCCAGCGCCAAGGUCUGGGACCUUAGGUCCAAGAAAAGCGUUGGCAAUGUCUGACCACAGGAAUGGGUUCUCGAACUGGGGAGGACUGAAGCUGGAGAUCUGGUCCAGCCCCUACCUCCAGCGUGUGGCCUGAACCCGUUUUGGUUGUACUGCUAUGUUGUGGCCCUGCCCAGGCCUCCAAGGACUGGCUGCUGUUAAGCUGUUUAAAAUCCCUGUAGGCCUCAGAUGGCAGCGACACCAGGGACUCGGCAUAGUCCCCAGCUCUGGCAGGAGUCACCACAGCCCUAGCCUUUAGUUCUCUACAGGCUGGAGUGUCGACAAACUCCACAGGACACAACUUUUUCAAACCAAAUUUACCCUCGCGGUCUGAAAUGACCAGUAGGCCCAGGAGAAUUUUACAUGUGAACAGAACCUAACCCACCCUGGCAAAUAUGAGACGUGUGGUCACUGCGGGAACCUGGCCAGCAGCAGACCAAAGCACAGCCAGCAGGGGAAGGCUGGGGCCCGCAAGAGUUGUGUUACAACAGGACACCCUUCAGUUCUCUUUCACUUCCUUAAAAUAGCAGCAGAGCGACUUUUGUAGACGCAGGCUGCCACAGUUCACACAAGGUCAUGGCUGUUUCCGAAUCCCACCCUUUAUUGCCCUAGCGGAGCCACUCCCCUUACCUCCGCCCCCAGAAACUGCUAGCCUGUUCUUAAAUUGAUACAGUUACCUUUUUAAAUGUUCUAAGUCACCGGCUCUGGAGCUUCUUUGCACUUUGGAACCAACUUGCGGGAAGGAACUUUAAAAAUACUGAUAUCUCGAUCCAUCCCCAGAGGUUCUGAUUUAAUGGUCUUGGGGAUAUGGCCACGGCAUGAGGACUGUUAAAACUCCGCAGGUGAUUCUUAUGUGCAACAAAGUUUAAGAACCACUGAUGUAGGCCAUGUCGAUGUCAGUCUUCACUUAAAUCCAACAAGACCCCAGAGCUAAAACGUUCACCUGAAAGAAACCCCAUUCCCAGGCCUGCAUACUGACCUGCGCUGGCUCACAAGAAGCAAAGUGGUCCCUUAACAGGGGCUUCCUGGAGAAAAUGUCUUGACCUAAAAGAGUGAUUCGAGCUGCAGGGAUUUAAGGACCGAGCUGAAGAAGCCCCCGUCUUCCAGCGCAUGUUAUUCCCAUGACAGAUGCUAAAAGUUCAAGGGGAGAGCUACAAGAAGUGCGUUUUCCUGUGGCUACUUUCAUGUCUGGAUGCAAUGCCUAGACCUGCAUCCAUCUUGCGACCAACCUGAAGAUGAACAGAAAGGAAGGAAGGAUGGCCCAAUAGCCUGGGAAGAACUGGUGUUCCUGAUACCAUCAUUAACCACAGAAUCUACAAUCCCGGAACCCCCCAUCCUUAACCAUGGAAUCUACAAUCCUAUCUCUAGACCCUUUGUCCAGAUGCUACAGUUUCUUUGUUCAAUCUAGUUUGUGUCAGGAUUUCUGUUCAUUACAUCAAAAGUAUUCUAAUACUUGUAGCAAAGCAA